CCGCCGUACUUUGAAUUUUCGGGAUGCUAUAUAUAUCUGCCCAGCCUUUUGGCGGACUUUUUAUGGACAAUCAUGUCUGAACGUACCGCUGCGUUUCGACGGAGAGUCAAUGAUAUCAGAGACAGAAUGAAUGCCCAAUUUAACCGGCUACUUAAUCAAGAUGACGGUGAAGAGGGGACUUCUCUUCUACAAAGCUUUGGAGUUUUCCGCCAACAGCACGGGGGUGGACCAGUGCGCAGGCCAAGAGGCGGGAGAACCAGACAUCGCCAGUUAACGUUUAAGGUGUCAGUACUAAGGAAUCCGACACUGACCCACUACCGAUCUCAUAGGGAUGCCACUCCUGCUACUCGGGUGGUCGUUCCUGUAAACCUCAAUGCCGCUGAAUUCAGGCAGGCACUACGGGACAAUAUUGCAGACAUACCUUUGCAGUUCGAUCUAUGCAAAGUGAAUGGACAGCGGCUCAUUCUUCCUCUUGAAGAGGAGACGCCCCAAGAAAUUAGAGCAAGAAACCUACUGGGUCGCUCCAAUCUUUAUAUCCGUCCAAAGAUUACAGAAGCCAAUGACGACUCAACUGGUGGAGAAGUGGUGCAGUCUGAAAUGGCAAUUGUGCUGCAUGACACAGAGACACCUGACCAUGGCAGGCACAAUGUACAGGAGCCAGAGGUUAUCAGGUAAAUGGCACUGUUUGUUUAUGAGUUGGAAUUUUAAUCUUAAAAUAUUGCACAAAUUUUAUUUUUUGGUAAAACUGUUGUACAAACUAAUUCUCAUUAUUAUAACUUGGAUCAUUUUGUGUAGUCUAGAUCAAGAAAUAUCUGCGUUGGGGUCCUGUUCCUGUUAUUAAAUA
rnacentral:lncRNA from 1 species